rnacentral:rRNA from 1 species
UACAGAGGGUGCAAGCGUUGUUCGGAAUUAUUGGGCGUAAAGCGCACGUAGGCGGGUUGUUAAGUCAGGGGUGAAAUCCUGGAGCUCAACUCCAGAACUGCCUUUGAUACUGGGUACCUUGAGUACGGGAGAGGUGUGUGGAACUCCGAGUGUAGAGGUGAAAUGCGUAGAUAUCGAGAGGAACACCUGCGGCGAAGGCGGGUUGCUGGGCCGACACUGACGCUGAGGCGCGAAAGCCAGGGGAGCGAACGGG